rnacentral:rRNA from 1 species
UACGUAGGGUGCGAGCGUUAAUCGGAGUUACUGGGCGUAAAGCGUGCGCAGGCGGUUUUGUAAGUCAGAUGUGAAAUCCCCGGGCUUAACCUGGGAACGGCGUUUGAAACUGGCAGGCUAGAGUUUGGCAGAGGGGGGUGGAAUUCCACGUGUAGCAGUGAAAUGCGUAGAGAUGUGGAGGAACACCGAUGGCGAAGGCAGCCCCCUGGGCCAAAACUGACGCUCAGGCACGAAAGCGUGGGGAGCAAACAGG